UGCUUUUUGACCCCACUGUGCAGGAAGCACAUGAACUUGUGUUUGGUAACAACUUUGGCUAAGUCAGUCUAGGAAUCUGCGCCCGUGGCAGGUCUACCCGGGCUAGGGGAAGCCCCUUCCCUGGGUCCCCAGCAGCUGCCGGAGCUCACUUCAGCCUCCCUGAGAGGGGCCAGCCACACCAGCGUAAGGCUGUUUGGAGCCGAGAAAUGUCCGGAGUUACGGUCCACGUUUGUGUCGCUCGAGGGGCUUUUACUGAUGUAAGGAGCAAGAGGAAUAUACACGGCAGAAGCAGGCAAGUCCAGAGGACAGAGUUCCUGCUUGAGUAUUUAAUAAGUAUUUGUGAAAUGAAUGAAUGAAAGAACAAACAACAUCCAGCUAAGCUUCAGAGAGGAGAGAGGCUCAGAGAGGAGCAUGCGGUGAGAAGGCAACAUUAGGCUGCUACAGGAAGCCCAGCACAACGCCGCAGCUACCUGCGGCUCGACUCUUGCUACAGGUGCGUUCAAUAUGCACGAAACAGCAGACUCCUUAUGCCUAAUCUAAAUCCUCUUUCUGCAAGUUAAACUUUCCCUUCGUUUGCAGUGGAAAAGAAUAGCUGUGGCAUUGGCCGCAGCCCUCUCCCAGGUGUGGAUUGUAAUUCAGACGGGCCAAUCAGGUUGCUGCCUCCGCCCACCCACUCUAUUUGGAUCAGGGAUAAGCAUUUGACUUAAUUCAGGCCAAACGGAGACAUGGAGGCUCAGAUUCUCUGUUUAAAACUUUAGAGGAAGGGGUACAUUUUUCCAGCUGGAAUUGCCAGAAGCAGGACCGUAAGUCGAGAGCUGUCGGAAGCCAGCUAGCCACCCUGUCUGGAGAACCCACCAGCAGUAGAAGCAACGCAGAGAAAAGCAAAGCCGAGAGGCGGAAAGGCUCCUGAGAAGGAAGGCCCGAGGACAGCCGCGGAGCCAACUGGGACCAAACUCAGAAUAGAAAAAUUCAGUCACUAUGAGGAUGAUCAUAUUUUUCACAAAAAGAGAUCAAUAUAAUUCUGAUGGAAAAUGUUAUGACAGGAUAAAAAAAAGUGUAAGUAUAAUGGCUAUUGAAAGCUUAAAGGUGUCAAUAAGAACCACAAAGUAAUCCUCAAGGAGCCUUCUGGGAAAGAACAACUUAAACAAGUAGCACAGUCAAUCACGGCAGCUGACAGAAACGGCCACUGCAUUCAAGAUCUCAACUACACACGCUGCCUCCAUUUCUAACACCUGGUUCAUACCAUCAGUCUGAGUGCUCAGCGUCUGACCCUCUGGAAUGAAUCUCAGUGACUGUGUAAAAGACCCAUCUGGACAGAGGUCCUCAAAGGCAGGCAGCAAAUGACCAUGUUCCGUUAACACGUUACAGUAAAGCAGAUACAACAGCA